rnacentral:misc_RNA from 1 species
AAGUCGUAACAAGGUUUCCGUAGGUGAACCUGCGGAAGGAUCAUUAUCACGUUUUCUCCAAACGUAUUCGACAACGCGUUAUGUUAUUUUAUCUCCCGUGUGAACUACAUGUAUCGGCCUUACACGCUAACUGAGGGUAUGGGAUGGGUUUAGUCGAGAGGCUAUCCGAACUCAGACGUGGACAUUACGAUAGUAGUAGGGACGCGGCUAGCUGUGAAUGAGUAGGCCCCUCUAUCCCAGGGUCAAAAGUUUGCGGCACCCCAUUUUCUUUAACAAUUUUCACCCCUUUUUUGCUAGUUGACUUUAUCUGCUCGUACACUCUCUUCAUUGAGAGGUGCAGCACGUUUAAUUUCUUAAUUGAACGUUAAAAUACAAUACAACUCUUAGCAAUGGAUAUCUUGGUUCUC